rnacentral:pre_miRNA from 1 species
GGUUUUGGGAGGCUGAAGCUGCCAGCAUGAUCUGGUAAUCGCUACAUACGACAUAUAUACAUACACAUGCUAAUUUAAUUUACUUCCACAUAUAUCAAUGUAUCUCUCAAAUAAUAUAUAAUCUUUUUUUUUUUUGCUAACAUUUGGAUCAUAUAUAAUCUUAGUGUUAAAAAUGUGUUUUCUCCUCUUUUUCAUGGAUGCAUGCAUGUAUGUGUGUGUAUAAGUGUAUAGAUAGUGGUACCAGAUCAUCCUGCGGCUUCAUUCACUCAAAUC